rnacentral:rRNA from 1 species
AAGAGAUCGGGAUAACACCUGGAAACAGAUGCUAAUACCGGAUAACAACAGAUGAUGCCUAUCAACUGUUUAAAAGAUGGUUCUGCCAUCACUCUUGGAUGGACCUGCGGUGCAUUAGCUAGUUGGUAGGGUAACGGCCUACCAAGGCGAUGAUGCAUAGCCGAGUUGAGAGACUGAUCGGCCACAUUGGGACUGAGACACGGCCCAAACUCCUACGGGAGGCAGCAGUA